UAGGGAAUCUUCCACAGUGGACGCAAGUCUGAUGGAGCAACGCCGCGUGAGUGAAGAAGGGUUUCGGCUCGUAAAGCUCUGUUGUUAAAGAAGAACGUGGGUAAGAGUAACUGUUUACCCAGUGACGGUAUUUAACCAGAAAGCCACGGCUAACUACGUACACG
rnacentral:rRNA from 1 species